rnacentral:rRNA from 1 species
GCAGUGAGGAAUAUUGGUCAAUGGGCGUUAGCAUGAACCAGCCAAGUAGCGUGAAGGAUGAAGGCUCUAUGGGUCGUAAACUUCUUUUAUAUAAGAAUAAAGUGCAGUAUGUAUACUGUUUUGUAUGUAUUAUAUGAAUAAGGAUCGGCUAACUCCGUGCCAGCAGCCGCGGUAAUACGGAGGAUCCGAGCGUUAUCCGGAUUUAUUGGGUUUAAAGGGAGCGUAGGUGGACUGGUAAGUCAGUUGUGAAAGUUUGCGGCUCAACCGUAAAAUUGCAGUUGAUACUGUCAGUCUUGAGUACAGUAGAGGUGGGCGGAAUUCGUGGUGUAGCGGUGAAAUGCUUAGAUAUCACGAAGAACUCCGAUUGCGAAGGCAGCUCACUGGACUGCAACUGACACUGAUGCU